AUUGAACGCUGGCGGCAGGCCUAACACAUGCAAGUCGAGCGGAUGAAGGGAGCUUGCUCCUGGAUUCAGCGGCGGACGGGUGAGUAAUGCCUAGGAAUCUGCCUGGUAGUGGGGGAUAACGUCCGGAAACGGGCGCUAAUACCGCCUACGUCCUGAGGGAGAAACUGUGGGAUCUUCGGACCUCACGCUAUCAGAUGAGCCUAGGUCGGAUUAGCUAGUUGGUGGGGUAAAGGCCUACCAAGGCGACGAUCCGUAACUGGUCUGAGAGGAUGAUCAGUCACACUAGAACUGAGACACGGUCCAGACUCCUACGGGAGGCAGCAGUGGGGAAUAUUGGACAAUGGGCGAAAGCCUGAUCCAGCCAUGCCGCGUGUGUGAAGAAGGUCUUCGGAUUGUAAAGCACUUUAAGUUGGGAGGAAGGGCAGUAAGUUAAUACCUUGCUGUUUUGACGUUACCAACAGAAUAAGCACCGGCUAACUUCGUG
rnacentral:rRNA from 1 species